AGAGUUUGAUCCUGGCUCAGGAUGAACGCUGGCGGCGUGCUUAACACAUGCAAGUCGAACGAAGCACUUUAUUUGAUUUCUUCGGAAUGAAGAUUUUGUGACUGAGUGGCGGACGGGUGAGUAACGCGUGGGUAACCUGCCUCAUACAGGGGAAUAACAGUUGGAAACGACUGCUAAUACCGCAUAAGCGCACAGGGUCGCAUGACCUGGUGUGAAAAACUCCGGUGGUAUGAGAUGGACCCGCGUCUGAUUAGCCAGUUGGUGGGGUAACGGCCUACCAAAGCGACGAUCAGUAGCCGACCUGAGAGGGUGACCGGCCACAUUGGGACUGAGACACGGCCCAAACUCCUACGGGAGGCAGCAGUGGGGAAUAUUGCACAAUGGGGGAAACCCUGAUGCAGCGACGCCGCGUGAGCGAAGAAGUAUUUCGGUAUGUAAAGCUCUAUCAGCAGGGAAGAAGAAAUGACGGUACCUGACUAAGAAGCACCGGCUAAAUACGUGCCAGCAGCCGCGGUAAUACGUAUGGUGCAAGCGUUAUCCGGAUUUACUGGGUGUAAAGGGAGCGCAGGCGGUACGGCAAGUCUGAUGUGAAAGCCCGGGGCUCAACCCCGGUACUGCAUUGGAAACUGUCGGACUAGAGUGUCGGAGGGGUAAGUGGAAUUCCUAGUGUAGCGGUGAAAUGCGUAGAUAUUAGGAGGAACACCAGUGGCGAAGGCGGCUUACUGGACGAUUACUGACGCUGAGGCUCGAAAGCGUGGGGAGCAAACAGGAUUAGAUACCCUGGUAGUCCACGCUGUAAACGAUGAAUACUAGGUGUCGGGGAGCAUUGCUCUUCGGUGCCGCAGCAAACGCAAUAAGUAUUCCACCUGGGGAGUACGUUCGCAAGAAUGAAACUCAGAGGAAUUGACGGGGACCCGCACAAGCGGUGGAGCAUGUGGUUUAAUUCGAAGCAACGCGAAGAACCUUACCAAGUCUUGACAUCCCGAUGACAGAACAUGUAAUGUGUUUUCUCUUCGGAGCAUCGGUGACAGGUGGUGCAUGGUUGUCGUCAGCUCGUGUCGUGAGAUGUUGGGUUGAGUCCCGCAACGAGCGCAACCCUUGUGAACAGUUGCCAGUAUUAAGUUAGGAACUCUGUUCAGACUGCCGUGGACAACACGGAGGAAGGUGGGGACGACGUCAAAUCAUCAUGCCCCUUACGUCUUGGGCUACACACGUGCUACAAUGGCCGUAACAGAGGGCAGCGAAAGGGCAACCUGGAGCGAAUCUCAAAAAAACGGUCUCAGCUCAGAUUGUGGGCUGCAACCCGCCCACAUGAAGACGGAGUUGCUAGUAAUCGCGGAUCAGCAUGCCGCGGUGAAUGCGUUCCCGGGCCUUGUACACACCGCCCGUCACACCAUGGGAGUUGAGAGCACCCGAAGUCGGUGACCUAACCGCAAGGAAGGAGCCGCCGAAGGUGAGAUUGAUGACUGGGGUGAAGUCGUAACAAGGUA
rnacentral:rRNA from 1 species